AGAGUUUGAUCAUGGCUCAGGACGAACGCUGGCGGCGUGCUUAACACAUGCAAGUCGAACGAUGAAGCCAGCUUGCUGGUGGAUUAGUGGCGAACGGGUGAGUAACACGUGGGCAACCUGCCCUCAGCUCUGGGAUAACUCCAAGAAAUUGGUGCUAAUACCGGAUAUUCAUUUCUCCUCGCAUGGGGGGUUGUGGAAAGUUUUUCGGCUGGGGAUGGGCCCGCGGCCUAUCAGCUUGUUGGUGGGGUGAUGGCCUACCAAGGCGACGACGGGUAGCCGGCCUGAGAGGGUGACCGGCCACACUGGGACUGAGACACGGCCCAGACUCCUACGGGAGGCAGCAGUGGGGAAUAUUGCGCAAUGGGCGGAAGCCUGACGCAGCGACGCCGCGUGAGGGAUGACGGCCUUCGGGUUGUAAACCUCUUUCAGCAGGGACGAAGCGGAAGUGACGGUACCUGCAGAAGAAGCACCGGCCAACUACGUGCCAGCAGCCGCGGUAAUACGUAGGGUGCAAGCGUUGUCCGGAAUUAUUGGGCGUAAAGAGCUCGUAGGCGGUUUGUCGCGUCGGCUGUGAAAGCCCGGAGCUCAACUCCGGGUCUGCAGUCGAUACGGGCAGACUUGAGUGUUGCAGGGGAGACUGGAAUUCCUGGUGUAGCGGUGAAAUGCGCAGAUAUCAGGAGGAACACCGGUGGCGAAGGCGGGUCUCUGGGCAACAACUGACGCUGAGGAGCGAAAGCGUGGGGAGCGAACAGGAUUAGAUACCCUGGUAGUCC
rnacentral:rRNA from 1 species